UCGCUGCGUGUUACAAGUGUCACGCAGGACCGCCGGUAUUAAGCCGGAGGAAGGUGGGGAUGACGUCAAGUCAGCAUGGCCUUUAUGCCUGGGGCUACACACACGCUACAAUGGCCAGUACAAUGGGUUGCUAAACCGCGAGGUGGAGCCAAUCCCCCAAAACUGGCCUCAGUUCAGAUUGCAGGCUGCAACUCGCCUGCAUGAAGCCGGAGUUGCUAGUAAACGCGCGUCACUAUAGUGCGUUGAAUACGUUCUCGGGCCUU
rnacentral:rRNA from 1 species